ACAUUUAACUAUCAACUAAUCAUAGAAAAGGAUCCAAAUACAAUCAACACCUAGACUUAGGGUUUUAUCUGACAGAAUUCUACGAGUUUUGGUGUUUGUCUAUUUCUGCAGGGGGUUAUCAGGAAAUAAGGAAGAAAGGCCCACACGUCGGGUUUACAUAGAGAUAUUAACGUGCCGUGCAAUUUUCUAUCAUCUAGAAGACUCCAGAAGCCACGGGACCGAAGCGGAAGCCGAGAGGCCUCAGGGACAGGGCGCCCGCCCUAGUCCUAAGGGCGCCCGCCCUCCCCCUGGACCAAUCAGGGUGAAGUCGGGGAUCAUGCUCCACCGACCUAAUACUUCAAGGAAAACCACACGAUCAAUGUCGGUUUGAUCCGACGGCCCAGAUUCACUUGAAGGGACUAUAAAAACAGACCCCCCUGGCCCCU
rnacentral:lncRNA from 1 species